GAAAUAGUUUAUUAGGCGGUGAAUUGCGGUGAAGAAUAUAGGCAGUUCGCGGCAACUUAGAACGCCAUGAUGGCAGCACUUUGCUUGCGAUAGUAACUUCUAGUAUUUGCUUAUACUGUAUGUUGUAUUUGAGGCAAAGUAUACGGUAUACCACACUCAAUUUGACUCUUUAAACUAUUUGGCAGCUUCUCUCAAACAGCCAAAAAUAGUACGCGAGUUGAAAUAAAACACCUCAAAUAAUAUCGAACGGAAUUAAAUGUUAGAAAUGAUUGGAUCUCUUCGAGCCAGGUUCAACAUACCAAUAUUUCCAACUACUUCCAAAGCGAUUUCUCAUAUGAAGAUGUAAAAAGAAUAAAAACAGCUGGAUAGAAAUAAAAGGAAAAAAUAUUGAAAAUAUGAACUCGACGAACUCAAAGGUUUGUCGAGACAGUCCAAACGACCUACCACUAAGCCACCGAGGGAGAACGAAAGUUUAUGUCAAAUUAAACACUAUAGCUAAUUGUCGUCACGCGCUUAUCUUAUGCGGUGAAAUAGUUUAUUAGGCGGUGAAGAAUAUAGGCCGUUCGCGGCAACUUAGAACGCCAUGAUGGCAGCACUUUGCUUGCGAUAGUAACUCCUAGUAUAUUGCUUAUACUGUAUGUUGUAUUUGAC